GCUUUUAUAGCUUAAUUAAAGCAUAACACUGAAGAUGUUAAGAUAAACCCUAGAAAGUUUUAAAAGCA
rnacentral:tRNA from 2 species